rnacentral:piRNA from 1 species
UAAGAUACUAAGGUGCUUAAGAAGU